rnacentral:rRNA from 1 species
UACGUAGGGUGCGAGCGUUACUCGGAAUUACUGGGCGUAAAGCGUGCGCAGGCGGUUCGUUGUGUCUGAUGUGAAAGCCCCGGGCUCAACCUGGGAAUGGCAUUGGAAACUGGCGAGCUAGAGUGUGGCAGAGGGGGGUGGAAUUCCGCGUGUAGCAGUGAAAUGCGUAGAGAUGCGGAGGAACACCGAUGGCGAAGGCAAUCCCCUGGGCCUGCACUGACGCUCAUGCACGAAAGCGUGGGGAGCAAACAGG